GUGGCGAACGGCUCAGUAACACGUAGUCAACAUGCCCAGAGGACGUGGAUAACCUCGGGAAACUGAGGAUAAACCGCGAUAGGCCAUAAUUUCUGGAAUGGUUUAUGGCUGAAAUCUAUAUGGCCUCUGGAUUGGACUGCGGCCGAUCAGGCUGUUGGUGAGGUAAUGGCCCACCAAACCUGUAACCGGUACGGGCUCUGAGAGGAGGAGCCCGGAGAUGGGCACUGAGACAAGGGCCCAGGCCCUAUGGGGCGCAGCAGGCGCGAAAUCUCUGCAAUAGGCGAAAGCUUGACAGGGUUACUCUGAGUGAUUCCCGCUAAGGGGAUCUUUUGGCACCUCUAAAAAUGGUGCAGAAUAAGGGGUGGGCAAGUCUGGUGUCAGCCGCCGCGGUAAUACCAGCACCCCGAGUGGUCGGGACGAUUAUUGGGCCUAAAGCAUCCGUAGCCGGUACUGCAAGUCCCCCGUUAAAUCCAGCUGCUCAACAGAUGGGCCGCGGAGGAUACUACAGAGCUAGGAGGCAGGAGAGGCAAGCGGUACUCAGUGGGUAGGGGUAAAAUCCGUUGAUCCAUUGAAGACCACCAGUGGCGAAGGCGGCUUGCCAGAAUGCGCUCGACGGUGAGGGAUGAAAGCUGGGGGAGCAAACCGGAUUAGAUACCCGGGUAGUCCCAGCUGUAAACGAUGCAGACU
rnacentral:rRNA from 1 species